AGAUUGUGAUGUAGCCAUUUUCUUAACAAGCCCUUGAAUCUCUCCCAUACCUCAAAUAGUGACUCUGAAUCCAACUAUGUAAAAGAUGUAAUCUCCUAACACAACUU